GAUGCCAGAAGAUGCAGCAGAGUUUGAGACAGAAGAACAGACUCAGGAGGAGCCCACAGAAACGUAGAGGCUGCUGCAGCUGUCGUGGUGAAGGAGCAGGGACCCACUGAUGUUGCAUCAGCACCAUCUGAGCAUGCUCAGAACAGUGAUGCACCUCUCCACCUCUAGAGAAGCAACUGAGUUGCUAUGACAACACUCACCUGUCUCCCACAUCUUUCUCCCUCGCCCUCAGUUUUAAUACCUUCCUUUAAAUGUUUCUUUUACUGUCUGUAUGAGAUGAUGGAUGAAUUGUUUACUAAUGUGGUACUCCUGUUCUUACUUUUUAAAAAAUGUUUCUUUUUUUUUUUUUUUAGUAGAGGACCCAUUUCCAUUUUUGUUCAUGGUGGUUUAGUUCUUUGUGUCUGUGCUCAGAUAUUCAGACCAUGUGUCUACGUGCAGUCUGUGUUGUAAUUGUACAGGAGGCCUGUCAGAGUCUUGCAUCUGCAAGUGCUGCAACAGUAAACCAGUCUGAAACUAUUUUUUAAGCCUGGCUGUGCUGUAGUUUGGCUUCCUGGACCUAAAUUCUUUUGCUGAGCAAAAUGAGGCCAAAGUUCAUGCCUGAGAUAUCAGUGUUUUGGCAGUUUCUAAACAAUCUCCGGCCUACACAGUGCAGUCGGUCUUUGACUUUGCAGGUUUAGAAGCUUCUCAGAUGACAAGGCUGUUGCUCUCAAUGUUGGCUGCCGUCUCCCAACCCUCCUCCUGCUGAUAAAAUCAUUUAAAAGGAGGCCUCAACAAUAUUUCAGAUUUUCUAAACCAAAGCAUCAUUUUCCUGCCUGCUAUAUAGUGUAAAUUCAGAAUGUAGAAAACCAGCUGCUUUCAGCGGCUUCCUUUUGGUCAUGGUCUAGAUUCUAUGCAAAGCUUUUAUUCUGGCUCCCACCCUCCUCACCUAGCCAGUUUAUUUACCACUCAGUGUGCGUCGACACCAGGAUGAGCCGUAUGUUAGUACAUGAAUUCUGAACGAAUGUAAGCUUCUUGUUGUGUGUCAAAGCAUGUUUCCUAAUGAUUUUUUUUUCUGUGAGCUGUUGAUGUCAAUGUGUAGGUUUGGAGACAGUUUAACUCCUCCCCCGUCUGUUCUCUACUACAUGUGGCUGUGUGUGUGCGUGCAUGUAUGGCUAUACGUUGUGAUGACUGGUUUGAGUUUUACACGGUGGGAGUGAUUUUCACCGUUCAGAUUUAAUUUUCAGCAGAUAGCUGUUUGAGGGUUCAGGCUUGGUUUUAGGGUUUAGGGUAGGCAUGUAGUUGUGAUGGCUAACAUUAGGGUCGGGGGCUCGGGACUGCAUUAUGUCACUGAAUGUUCUCAUAAACAUAACUGUGUGUGGUCUGUGUAUCUCUAGUAUCUCUUAUGUUUGGCAUAUUUCCAGAUGUGAUCACCACGACCAUCUAACACGACUAUCAAAUAAGUCUUAAGUGAAGCUGUAACUUUAAACAUCAGCUCUGAGCUUGAACUGUGAUGUAAAUCAGGACACUGAACAGUGCAGAUCUGUCACAGUGUGGUGUAGUGAUGAUGCUUUCAAACACACCAGGUAGACCAUGUAAGAUAGUUAAACAGAGGUAUGUGUGGCCCAGAUCCCAUUUAGUUUAAUGGUAAGUUCAGUGUAAAAUAUCUGUUGAGGAUGAAAUGGGUUGGGCGUCCAGCUGCAGCCACAGCUGGCAGACUGAUGCCAGCAAAAUGAACCAAGAUCUUUUUUUUUUUUUUUUUUUAAAUCAGUGGCAAAACUUCACUGCCUCGCUUCAGCCGCUCAGCAAUGUGUAGUUGUAUGUUUGAUGUACUUUCUAAAAGGGACUCUUAGUGACAUGUCGAUUACUCACGGUUCCCUCUCCUUUGUGACCUCAGAAAUUGUCUUGGUGUGUUGCUAAUCACUGAUCCGUGGUAGCAGGACUCCUGCAGGCCCAAAGAUGAGAGCACAGAUUGUCUUGCACAUCAUUCUAUCAUAGCUGAACUCAGAUGGGGACUUUAAUGUGUUUUAUUUUGGAGGUGCUGAUCAGAUCCUUUUGUAUCCCUACUGGAUGUGUAUGCCAUCAUGUAUCAGAAGAGACCUAACCAUGACCAUAGGUGCAGCACCCUGGGUAACAUUUGUGUUUGGAUACUGUCAAUAAAUAUGUAGAUGUGAUGAUGUAGGAAUAAACUGCAGCACUACAGUGGGAGGAGAAGAUCAUCAGAAAAUCAGUCCUCGUUUAUAAAACAUUCUGUCAUUUGAUGUCACAGUUCUACUUUGUAUCUCUAGCCAUCACAUACUGUAAGGACCAGAUUGUUUGUAGGGAAGCAACACAUUGCAGUGGUGUGCACGAGCUGUUUUUAUAGGAUGUCUGAACAUUCCCCCUUUGUAACACUAGCUGGUCUUUUCUGCUUCCUAAUGUGAACUGUGAAAGCUUUUUAACAUUGAAUAUUGCAGUCUGUAGCAAGAGAGAGCUUAUGGACUUUUAAAAGGAACAUUGGAAAAGUCAAGGAAACCACUGAUUUUGUGAAAGCCAUAAGCUGUUUGUGACCGGUGUAUUUCGGUGGCUGCGCUGCCUCGGGACAAACUUUUAUUUUUUUUAAGCACGUCAAAGGAAGAGCAGAACAUUUCAAACCAUACUGUGGCAAAGCAGAAGAACAGACUUUCAUGUUUUUAUUACUAAACUUGGAUCAGAAAUCAUGUACAUGCUGUAAUGGGUUGUGAUAUGUGGGCAGCUGUGUUUCUCACACUGUUGUCUAUCAUAACCUCCAGUCUGCUGCAGAUGCCAAUUAAAUUAUUGUGAAGUAAUGAUGUUUUGUAUAAAGGAGAUUUGAAGUGUCACAGAUUUCUGUAAAUGAUUUGUUCUGGGAGCUGCAAUAAAAGUUUGGGACAGCACAG